UCAAAUUUUAAAUCAAGGUUGAAAGUUCGAGAAGCCAGUUCAAAUUUCAAAUCGCCAAGAUCAACGCAAUCGGUCUGGAUAGAUGGGUGAGGAUGCUUUGUUUCUUGAAUAUUUUCUCUGUAUUACUGUUUGAUGAAGAUACUGUUGUUGAUGAUAUUUGUUUUGCAACUUUUCGGAGCUGAAGAAAAAUUAUAAGCGAAGUUAAGAUGAUGAAUCGGAAAAAGGCAAGAGGUAGAGGAGGAGAAGAGAAGGCAGAAGAAUUAUCGAGACAGGGCUAAAGAACUUAGAGAAGAUCAAAUUCGUGAUUAUGAACUUAUUUAGGUUUCUUUUAUAUUUUGCUCCUCCUGGUGCGGUUAAUCUAAGGCCAGAAAAUGCUAUGAAGAUAUCCAUUGAGAACAGGUAUGUCGGAGGUAAUCCGGAACUUAUGAAAAGCACACUCUAUAGUUGGCAUGUAUUUUACUUGGAUUGAGGCUAAUGUUCAAGAAUUUGGGAUGCAUAGAUUAUGUCAUGAACGUGUUCGAUGAAAUGUUGAUUAUAAAUCUUAAUUAUGUACAAGUUGAGUCAGUUUGAGACUAAUUUCAAAUUUGCUGUUCAAAAGCAUUUUGUUUAGGUGUGUUUAAAUUCCAAAUGGAACAAGCAGGAGAAGCACAGAAAAGCAAGUUACAGACGUGAAUGGAUGUUGUUACUGAAGUAUUGCUAUGCAUGUGAUCCAUAUAAUUUGCCAGCACAAAGGAGACAGAUUUCGCUCUUGCAGCACUUAUGGAAAUACGUACACAGUACAAAGCAACACUAGAGCAUAUUGGGGUAUCAUAGAAAUGGCUGUUAGAACUGUGGAGAACACCGGUGGCCAAUAUCAUGUUCAUCUCACUAUUGCAGACGUUCAGAUUAGUCAUUUUGUGGCUGUGGUAUAGAGUCUUAGUCAUUUCGGGUUAUUUGGUGUAAUUUGGAACAUUCAAUCUAUAUACAGUUUUUAAUAAUGACCAAUUUUCACUAUAAAAAGAAUGUCCAGCUCAUUCGUAUUGAUAUUGCUGUGAAAAAGAUAACACAAAGAGUUGACGUCGGCCACCUAAUUCUGUUGUAGUGAUUACCAUUACAGUUGUUUUGGUUGGUGUAGUGACUGGGCGUGGGAUAUGAUGCGUGAAUUUGAUGGUAACAUUCCUCUCAAGCUUUUGAUAAUUUUCAGUUGUACAUUUUCGCGCAGGGCUUGGAUAUGGAAUGCAAAUCUGGCUUGAUAACUUUUUUAUGGUGCAUUUUCCGGCUGAUAUCCGAACUAAGCUUGGCAUCAAAGUUCAUUCUAUUAUCACAUUGUAUUGGGAAACUAUUUGUUUUUUUUUGUAUAUGAAAUAUCCAACUCAGAUAACACGUGCAGCGCACGAGCCCUUUACUAGUUCUAGUUGAAUGAAGCAAAGGAAUCACUCAAAACUGUGAAUAGAGUAGGCAGAUAUUCGUUUAAUUCAACCUAAAUUGCAGAACCUUUUCAAGCUUGA